UACAGAGGUCUCAAGCGUUGUUCGGAUUCAUUGGGCGUAAAGGGUGCGUAGGUGGCGGGGUAAGUCAGGUGUGAAAUCUCGGGGCUCAACCCCGAAACUGCACUUGAUACUGCCUUGCUCGAGUACUGGAGAGGAGAUUGGAAUUUACGGUGUAGCAGUGAAAUGCGUAGAUAUCAGGAGGAACACCGGUGGCGAAGGCGGAUCUCUGGGCCAUUACUGACGCUGAGGAGCGAAAGCGUGGGGAGCGAACAGG
rnacentral:rRNA from 1 species